rnacentral:rRNA from 1 species
AUUGAACGCUGGCGGCAGGCCUAACACAUGCAAGUCGAGCGGCAGCACGGACUUCGGUCUGGUGGCGAGUGGCGAACGGGUGAGUAAUGUAUCGGAACGUGCCUAGUAGCGGGGGAUAACUACGCGAAAGCGUAGCUAAUACCGCAUACGCCCUACGGGGGAAAGCAGGGGAUCGUAAGACCUUGCACUAUUAGAGCGGCCGAUAACGGAUUAGCUAGUUGGUGGGGUAACGGCUCACCAAGGCGACGAUGCGUAGCUGGUUUGAGAGGACGACCAGCCACACUGGGACUGAGACACGGCCCAGACUCCUACGGGAGGCAGCAGUGGGGAAUUUUGGACAAUGGGGGAAACCCUGAUCCAGCCAUCCCGCGUGUGCGAUGAAGGCCUUCGGGUUGUAAAGCACUUUUGGCAGGAAAGAAACGUCAUGGGUUAAUACCCCGUGAAACUGACGGUACCUGCAGAAUAAGCACCGGCUAACUACGUGCCAGCAGCCGCCGCCGUAA